rnacentral:rRNA from 1 species
UACGUAGGUCACAAGCGUUAUCCGGAAUUACUGGGCAUAAAGAGAUGCGUAGGUGUUUUGAUAAGUUCUUGGUCAAAUUUUUUAGCUUAACUAGAAAACUGCCGGGAAAACUAUCAGAAUAGAGUAAGGGAGAGGGGAAUGGAAUUUCUGGUGGAGCGGUAAAAUGCGUUGAUAUCAGAAAGAACACCGAUGGCGAAGGCAAUUCCCUGGCCCUUCACUGACACUAAGGCUCGAAAGCGUAGGGAGCAAAACGG